rnacentral:rRNA from 1 species
GGUUAAGCGACUAAGCGUACACGGUGGAUGCCCUGGCAGUCAGAGGCGAUGAAGGGCGUGCUAAUCUGCGAUAAGCGCCGGUAAGGUGAUAUGAACCGUUAUAACCGGCGAUACCCGAAUGGGGAAACCCAGUGUGAUUCGUCACACUAUCAUUAACUGAAUCCAUAGGUUAAUGAGGCGAACCGGGGGAACUGAAACAUCUAAGUACCCCGAGGAAAAGAAAUCAACCGAGAUUCCCCCAGUAGCGGCGAGCGAACGGGGAGGAGCCCAGAGCCUGAAUCAGCAUGUGUGUUAGUGGAAGCGUCUGGAAAGGCGCGCGAUACAGGGUGACAGCCCCGUACACAAAAGCGCAUGUGCUGUGAGCUCGAUGAGUAGGGCGGGACACGUGGUAUCCUGUCUGAAUAUGGGGGGACCAUCCUCCAAGGCUAAAUACUCCUGACUGACCGAUAGUGAACCAGUACCGUGAGGGAAAGGCGAAAAGAACCCCGGCGAGGGGAGUGAAAAAGAACCUGAAACCGUGUACGUACAAGCAGUGGGAGCACCCUUUGGGUGUGACUGCGUACCUUUUGUAUAAUGGGUCAGCGACUUAUAUUCUGUAGCAAGGUUAACCGAAUAGGGGAGCCGGAGGGAAACCGAGUCUUAACCGGGCGUUAAGUUGCAGGGUAUAGACCCGAAACCCGGUGAUCUAGCCAUGGGCAGGUUGAAGGUUGGGUAACACUAACUGGAGGACCGAACCGACUAAUGUUGAAAAAUUAGCGGAUGACCUGUGGCUGGGGGUGAAAGGCCAAUCAAACCGGGAGAUAGCUGGUUCUCCCCGAAAGCUAUUUAGGUAGCGCCUCGUGAAUUCAUCUCCGGGGGUAGAGCACUGUUUCGGCUAGGGGGCCAUCCCGGCUUACCAACCCGAUGCAAACUGCGAAUACCGGAGAAUGUUAUCACGGGAGACACACGGCGGGUGCUAACGUCCGUCGUGAAGAGGGAAACAACCCAGACCGCCAGCUAAGGUCCCAAAGUCAUGGUUAAGUGGGAAACGAUGUGGGAAGGCCCAGACAGCCAGGAUGUUGGCUUAGAAGCAGCCAUCAUUUAAAGAAAGCGUAAUAGCUCACUGGUCGAGUCGGCCUGCGCGGAAGAUGUAACGGGGCUAAACCAUGCACCGAAGCUGCGGCAGCGACACUGUGUGUUGUUGGGUAGGGGAGCGUUCUGUAAGCCUGUGAAGGUGUGUCGUGAGGCAUGCUGGAGGUAUCAGAAGUGCGAAUGCUGACAUAAGUAACGAUAAAGCGGGUGAAAAGCCCGCUCGCCGGAAGACCAAGGGUUCCUGUCCAACGUUAAUCGGGGCAGGGUGAGUCGACCCCUAAGGCGAGGCCGAAAGGCGUAGUCGAUGGGAAACGGGUUAAUAUUCCCGUACUUGGUGUUACUGCGAAGGGGGGACGGAGAAGGCUAUGUUGGCCGGGCGACGGUUGUCCCGGUUUAAGCGUGUAGGUGUGUGUUCCAGGUAAAUCCGGUUCACUUUAACACUGAGGCGUGACGACGAGGCACUACGGUGCUGAAGCAACAAAUGCCCUGCUUCCAGGAAAAGCCUCUAAGCAUCAGGUAACAUCAAAUCGUACCCCAAACCGACACAGGUGGUCAGGUAGAGAAUACCAAGGCGCUUGAGAGAACUCGGGUGAAGGAACUAGGCAAAAUGGUGCCGUAACUUCGGGAGAAGGCACGCUGACACGUAGGUGAAGUGAUUUACUCAUGGAGCUGAAGUCAGUCGAAGAUACCAGCUGGCUGCAACUGUUUAUUAAAAACACAGCACUGUGCAAACACGAAAGUGGACGUAUACGGUGUGACGCCUGCCCGGUGCCGGAAGGUUAAUUGAUGGGGUCAGCGCAAGCGAAGCUCCUGAUCGAAGCCCCGGUAAACGGCGGCCGUAACUAUAACGGUCCUAAGGUAGCGAAAUUCCUUGUCGGGUAAGUUCCGACCUGCACGAAUGGCGUAAUGAUGGCCAGGCUGUCUCCACCCGAGACUCAGUGAAAUUGAACUCGCUGUGAAGAUGCAGUGUACCCGCGGCAAGACGGAAAGACCCCGUGAACCUUUACUAUAGCUUGACACUGAACAUUGAGCCUUGAUGUGUAGGAUAGGUGGGAGGCUUUGAAGUGUGGACGCCAGUCUGCAUGGAGCCGACCUUGAAAUACCACCCUUUAAUGUUUGAUGUUCUAACGUGGACCCGUUACCCGGGUUGCGGACAGUGUCUGGUGGGUAGUUUGACUGGGGCGGUCUCCUCCUAAAGAGUAACGGAGGAGCACGAAGGUUGGCUAAUCCUGGUCGGACAUCAGGAGGUUAGUGCAAUGGCAUAAGCCAGCUUGACUGCGAGCGUGACGGCGCGAGCAGGUGCGAAAGCAGGUCAUAGUGAUCCGGUGGUUCUGAAUGGAAGGGCCAUCGCUCAACGGAUAAAAGGUACUCCGGGGAUAACAGGCUGAUACCGCCCAAGAGUUCAUAUCGACGGCGGUGUUUGGCACCUCGAUGUCGGCUCAUCACAUCCUGGGGCUGAAGUAGGUCCCAAGGGUAUGGCUGUUCGCCAUUUAAAGUGGUACGCGAGCUGGGUUUAGAACGUCGUGAGACAGUUCGGUCCCUAUCUGCCGUGGGCGCUGGAGAACUGAGGGGGGCUGCUCCUAGUACGAGAGGACCGGAGUGGACGCAUCACUGGUGUUCGGGUUGUCAUGCCAAUGGCACUGCCCGGUAGCUAAAUGCGGAAGAGAUAAGUGCUGAAAGCAUCUAAGCACGAAACUUGCCCCGGGAUGAGUUCUCCCUGAGACUUAGAGUCUCCUGAAGGAACGUUGAAGACGACGACGUUGAUAGGCCGGGUGUGUAAGCGCAGCGAUGCGUUGAGCUAACCGGUACUAAUGAACCGUGAGGCUUAACCUU